UUUUGAUGAAACAAAUUUUUAAUAUUUUCCAUGAAAUAUAAUAAUACUGCAACAAAUUUCUCUGAUAGUUCGUUAAUUCUUUCAUUGUGGUAAUUAGAUAUCUCCACUCAAAAUUUCGUUACCCUUGACUUUGGAAAGCAGUUUUAUAUCCCAAUCUGUUUUUUGUUGUGGAAUGUCAUGUCUGGAACUCUUUUGAGAUAUGUCAAAUUUAAUAUGAUGCAAGGUGACUUGCAGAAAAUACCAAUUCUAUUUUUUGGCAGAUAUUUAAACAUCAUUACUGGAAUAACCAUGAAAAUAUAUUUCAUAUUUAAAGGGUUAAAUCAACGGAAGUACUUAACUGCUACUUAUACAAACUGAGGGAGCCUCUAGGGUGUUUUGGUCUUCUAUUGUAAUUCCAUUUAUGUCUAGGAAGUUUCAUAGGAAUGUUAACCUUUUCACUGCAGAAAUUACAUACGUCCACUCAAAAAUCUCAUUACCCUUAACUGCAGAAAGCAGUUUUAUAUCCCAAUCUGUCAUUUGAUGAGGAGUGUCAUGUUUGGAACUCUUUUGAGAUAUGCCAAACUUAAUAUGACGCAAGGUGACUCACAGAAAAUACCAAUUCUAUUCUUUGGUAGAUAUUUAAACAUCAUAACUGGAAAUAACCAUGAAAAUAUAUUUCAUAUUUAAAGGGUUAAAUCAACUGAAGUACUUAACUGCUACUUAUACAAACUGAGGGAGCAUCUAGGGUGUUUUGUUCUUCUAUUGUAAUUCCAUUUAUGUCUAGGAAGUUUCAUAGGAAUAUUAACCCUUUCACUGCAGAAAUUACAUACGUCCACUCAAAAAUCUCAUUACCCUUAACUGCAGAAAGCAGUUUUAUAUCCCAAUCUGUCAUUUGAUGAGGAGUGUCAUGUUUGGAACUAUUCUCUUUUGAGAUAUGUAAAGUUUAUUAUGAAACAAGGUGCCUUGCAGAAAAUACCAAUUCUGUUUUUUGGCAGAUAUUUAAACAUCAUAACUGGAAUAACCAUGAAAUAUUAAUUUAUCAGUGAAAGGGUUAACAUGAAAUUUUGAUGAAAGGUUUUCGUUUAGAUCACAUUAAAUCAAGGAAUUUGUGUCAUAGAAGCAGGGAAGAUUUCAGGUGAUUUGAUGUCAAAAGGUUCAAGACAAACAUGAUGGAAAGAUCCAGAAGCUAAAUCAUGAGUAGGUUAUUUCUGAUGAAAUACACUGUAUUUGUUUCUGGCACCCGUGCUAGUGGAGCGCUAAGAGUACCAUACAAGUGGGAUCAUUGCCAGAGCAACAAGCUGGCCUCCGUGCCAGUGGCAUGUAAAAGACACCAUUAGAGCGUGAUCGUUACCUAUUUCUUUAUUACCCACAAGGGGCUAAACACAGAGGGGACAAACAAGGACAGACAUAGGUAUUAAGUCGAUUAGAUCGACCCCAGUGCGUAACUGGUACUUAAUUUAUCGACCCCGAAAGGAUGAAAGGCAAAGUCGACCUCGGCGGAAUUUGAACUCAGAACAUAACGACAGAUGAAAUAC
rnacentral:lncRNA from 1 species